GGUGGCUCAGUGGUAGAGUACUUGCCUCACAUGCAUGAGGCCCUGGGUUUGAUUCCCCAGCACCA
rnacentral:tRNA from 1 species